AAUUUGUAUUUCAAAAAUUUAGAUUUAAUAUAAUAUAUUUUGAAAUAUUGAAAAAAAAAUAAUUGUUUCGGGUUCAAAUUUUCGGGUUCGUAUUUGGGUUCGGAUUUUUAAAAAUCCACCCCGAAUUCGACCCGUUGACAUCUCUAAUAGCAAGCAAGUUGCAACGCCUUGCUUUUCAAAAGAGUUACUCAUUUUAAAAAUAGGAAAACUUUAAAUACCAUCUCUAUAGUUUUACGUACACUGUUUUACUUUUAGUAUUCUGCGGUUUAAAGUGUAUCAAUUUACUAAUUUAGUGUCUUAUGGUUUCAUUUUUAUCUUUCUAUUAUAGAUUUUACUAAUUUUUUUUGUUAAAUCAGUGACAAAUUAAAACUAAAGGGUAUUAAAGUGAAUAUUCGAUAAACCUAGAUGGAGUAUCUGAAGUUUUUUAUACAUAAUUUAAUGAAAUAUUAACGGAGAAGCUGACGAAAAAGCAAAAUGAAACUAUAUGAUACUAACUUGAUACACUUUAAACCACAUGGUACUAAAGUGAAAAAGUGCGAAACCACUGGAGUGGUAUAUGAAGUUUACCCUUU
rnacentral:lncRNA from 1 species